GACGAACGCUGGCGGCGUGCCUAAUACAUGCAAGUCGAGCGAAUGAUGAGGAGCUUGCUCCUCUGAUUUAGCGGCGGACGGGUGAGUAACACGUGGGCAACCUGCCCUGUAGACUGGGAUAACUUCGGGAAACCGGAGCUAAUACCGGAUAAUUCUUUUAGCCGCAUGGCUUUAAGCUAAAAGGCGCUUCGGCGUCACUACAGGAUGGGCCCGCGGUGCAUUAGCUAGUUGGUGGGGUAACGGCCUACCAAGGCAACGAUGCAUAGCCGACCUGAGAGGGUGAUCGGCCACAUUGGGACUGAGACACGGACCAAACUCCUACGGGAGGUAGCAGUAGGGAAUCUUCCACAAUGGACGAAAGUCUGAUGGAGCAACGCCGCGUGAGUGAUGAAGGUUUUCGGAUCGUAAAACUCUGUUGUAAGGGAAGAACAAGUGCGUUAGGUAAUGAACGCACCUUGACGGUACCUUAUUAGAAAGCCACGGCUAACUACGUGCCAGCCGCCGCGGUAA
rnacentral:rRNA from 1 species